rnacentral:snRNA from 1 species
AGCUUUGCGCAGUGGCAGUAUCGUAGCCAAUGAGGCGCGAUUAUUGCUAAUUGAAAACUUUUCCCAGAAUAUACACCUACCUGAUUGUGUAUGCACAGUGAGGCAGAAAUAGAUCUUUUUUUUUUUUUAAG